GACGAACGCUGGCGGCGUGCUUAACACAUGCAAGUCGAACGGUGAAGGUGGAGCUUGCUCCGCCGGAUCAGUGGCGAACGGGUGAGUAACACGUGGGCAACCUGCCCCUCACUUCGGGAUAACUCCGGGAAACCGGGGCUAAUACCGAAUACGACCUCCUUGGGCAUCCCGGGAGGUGGAAAGUUUUUCGGUGAGGGAUGGGCCCGCGGCCUAUCAGCUUGUUGGUGAGGUAACGGCUCACCAAGGCGACGACGGGUAGCCGGCCUGAGAGGGCGACCGGCCACACUGGGACUGAGACACGGCCCAGACUCCUACGGGAGGCAGCAGUGGGGAAUAUUGCGCAAUGGGCGAAAGCCUGACGCAGCAACGCCGCGUGCGGGAUGAAGGCCUUCGGGUUGUAAACCGCUUUCAGCAGGGAAGAAGCCGCAAGGUGACGGUACCUGCAGAAGAAGCACCGGCUAACUACGUGCCAGCCGCCGCCGUAA
rnacentral:rRNA from 1 species